CCUACGGGGGGCAGCAGUGGGGAAUAUUGGACAAUGGGGGGAACCCUGAUCCAGCCAUGCCGCGUGUGUGAAGAAGGCCCUCGGGUUGUAAAGCACUUUCAGUGAGGAAGAACGCCUGGUGGUUAAUACCCAUCAGGAAAGACAUCACUCACAGAAGAAGCACCGGCUAACUCCGUGCCAGCAGCCGCGGUAAUACGGAGGGUGCGAGCGUUAAUCGGAAUUACUGGGCGUAAAGCGCGCGUAGGUGGCUUGAUAAGCCGGUUGUGAAAGCCCCGGGCUCAACCUGGGAACGGCAUCCGGAACUGUCAAGCUAGAGUGCAGGAUAGGAAGGUAGAAUUCCCGGUGUAGCGGUGAAAUGCGUAGAGAUCGGGAGGAAUACCAGUGGCGAAGGCGGCCUUCUGGACUGACACUGACACUGAGGUGCGAAAGCGUGGGUAGCAAACAGGAUUAGAUACCCCAGUAGUC
rnacentral:rRNA from 1 species